ACUCAUGAGAAAAAUUCUUUUAAUAAGUUAAAUAAUCUACCAGAGAAAGUAGUCAUUUUUCAAAAAUAUAAAGAAAGUAUUGACUCAAAACACACUCCUACAUCUGGCUGAAAAGUUUAGCUUUGUCUUAUUUAAAGUGUAAUAAGAUAUUUGCUUUAAAAACUCGGCCAAAAUACUUGGUAAAAUUUUGUGUAUUUGCAGUGCAGCUGCAGAAUGAGUCACAACAGGUCAUUUCCAAAGAUGCUGAUUGAGUACAGGGUGGCUAUCCAAGUAUAUUGAUAGAAAAUUUAGUGGAAGGAAAAACAGUGAUAUUCACAAGGACUUUGACUGAAUAUGUUGAAUUAGAUUUUGGGCUAAUUCAAAACGUAAAGUCUGAGAGUCUGAAUGAAGAGCGCAGAGGCUCAGAAUCCAGCCGUGUUGGAGUCCACUGGGUUUCUUCAAGUCAGCACAGGAGUUUACUUUUCUUCUGCUUUAACCAUCAAUAUCAACACAAUUAAAUGGUUGACAUUUGUCCCUUUGUGUCUAAUCUAUGUUAAAUACGAAUUUCCCUUUAAUUUAAUUACUGAAAUAAUCAAUUCCUUCUAUAAUAUUCUAAUUUACUGAGAUGCAUCUGUAUGUGCGUCACAAAAAUCAGAAAUUCUCUGAUCUGAACAAAAUGGACGGAUUUGAGCUGAAGUCGCUUGAUGUCGUACGGAAGAGGAAAAACAGUGAAAACCAAUCAGACGAGUAAGUCUGACAACCCUACAUUCAUAAAAAAAGAAAACAUAAUUCUGCUGCCUGUAAUCACAUCUCUGCCUCUGCUUGCAAGUUUUAAAGCAGCUGAUCCGUCUUCAGAUCAAAGCAACAAUCUGAAUGUUAAUUUCAGAGAGGAGAGACGUUAGCUCUGAUGUUUCUGUUGUUUCAUUCUUGCUGAGACAUAAAAGGAAUCACUGCGUUUAAUGGCAAGGUUAUUUUUGCAGUGAAGGAGGGGUGGGGGGGUAGAAAAGAGUGUAAAACAAAAUAACUCCGGAGGUGCCAUUUGUUGUGUUAAAGAAUCAGGAUUAAUAUCGUUAAUCGUUUGGUUGAGUCAGUGUCAAUACCCCGAAUUAGUGGAAAGAGGAGAAAAGCUGAGUGAACCCAGGGAGGGGAAAUGAACAAGCAGUACUGGCGGCGCUUCAAAUGGAAAAAAAAUAUAUAUAUAAAACUACCAGAAAAACAAUAA